AGUCUAUGAUGGGGUCAAAGUCUUAUCAUAUCCUUGUAUCUCUCCCACGCUUAAAAAAAUCAUUGUCUUUCUGCCUAAAUCUGUUGAUUUGGGCUCUUAGCAU